rnacentral:snRNA from 13 species
UUACUGGUGGGUGGCGGAGAAGAGAUCGUGACAUCGUAGACCUAUGGCUUAGAUUGAUGACCUCCAUUGCACUUUGGAGGGGUGCCUGCCUAAAGUCUGCCCAAGUGGUCGAGCCUACACUAUAAUUUGUGAUAGUGGGGGCUUGCGUUCGCGCAGCCCCUAG